ensembl:lncRNA
CCGUGGUUCUGAUUUCCGUGUGGGUGAGUGCGUGCAUGCGCAAGUAUGUGCGCGCGCGCGCGUGUAUUUGUGUGCGUGUGUGUGUAUUUGUGUGCGUGUGUGUGCGUGUGUGCGUGUGCGUGUUUGUGCAAGUAGAAAAACAUGUUGACUAACCUUACUUGUAGAGAAACGCCAUCCUCCUCUCUUUCAUGUUGACAAAACGGUCUAUCUCUCUGUCAUACACGCUGUAAUAUUUUGUUGUCCUACUGAAUGCUACCUGGCUAAAAUGCUUGCUCGUUAGCCUAACUUCCAUUCAUGGGCAACAUUAGCCUUGUUAACGUUAGCCUUCUACAUCUAGCUACAUAUUGAACUUCUAUCCUCUCAGACCAGGGGCACAACAAUGUAUGAAUUAAUGGUUUGUUCAGAAUCGCUGUUAUAAUCAUUGGCCUGUACGGGGAAUUAAGUAAAACCACAAGUCCAAAUCCCUAUCUCCAUCCAUGGCUAAUUUUGGAAAAUGACCAUAUUAUCUGGCUAGGUAGCAACAGGAGGACAACAACACAACGAGAUGUAACAAUUAAAGUUUUUCUGUCAAUCACGUAUACAAUCACGUAUACGCAAUAGGAUUUGAUAGAAGUGAUGACAAAUCCAAGGUUGCUUCCCUUUAUUUUGGUGCACCAGGACCACACAGAGUUGAGCCCACUCAGUUUAGCUCAAUGCUGAAUGGCUCGGGAUGCUUUCUCCAGUGAGAUAAAAUUCAGCCUCUACGAAUUGAAGGAAAAUUAUGAAACACAGUUUCAACUGUUCUGCCUUAUUAUUAUUCGACCAUGCUGGUCAUUUAUGAACAUUUGAACAUCUUGGCCGUGUUCUUUUAUAAUCUCCACCCGGCACAGCCAGAAGAGGACUGGCCACCCCACAUAUGCUCUCUCUAAUUCUCUCUUUCUUUCUCUCUCUCGGAGGACCUGAGCCCUAGGACCAUGCCCCAGGACUACCUGACAUGAUGACUCCUUGCUGUCCCCAGUCCACCUGACCGUGCUGCUGCUCCAGUUUCAACUGUUCUGCCUUAUUAUUAUACGACCAUGCUGGUCAUUUAUGAACAUUUGAACAUCUUGUCCAUGUUCUGUUAUAAUCUCCACCCGGCACAGCCGGAAGAGGACUGGCCACCCCACAUAGCCUGGUUCCUCUCUAGGUUUCUUCCUAGGUUUUGGCCUUUCUAGGGAGUUUUUCCUAGCCACCGUGCUUCUACACCUGCAUUGCUUGCUGUUUGGGGUUUUAGGCUGGGUUUCUGUACAGCACUUUGAGAUAUCAGCUGAUGUAUGAAGGGCUAUAUAAAUAAAUUUGAUUUGAUUUGAUUUGAGAUGAAAGAUACAUUUUACUAGUCAAUUUUAUGGGGAAGCCUGACUUUCCUUGGUAUCCAUGAAUACACACCACUGCUACCAGUAAGGGUGUUAUUUGAUGUAUCUCACACCAAUCAGAGAAAAAAGGUUCCUUUCUCUGUAACUGUGAGGCAAGAAGCCUACUGAUCACAGUACUGCACCAGUACUGUGUAUGCACCCCACUAUUCAUCUGUAUGUACUAUAUGUGAAUAUCUAGACUGCCUAGUCCAUUUCUCCUGUGUUUCAUUAGCUAUUUACUGUAAGAUAACUGACACUGUCCUCUUCCUUGACUCAACUUAUUGACAUGGCUUUACUGUAACUCGUAUGCAAAUGAGGAUGUGAAUUGAUACAUUUCACACCUACAUCAAUUAGCCUUUAGCUCAUACUGAUGUUGGAUCGUAUCAUUGUGGAAUAUUCUGGUAUAAUGAAUACUAUUUUGGAGAUGGUAUGUAUCUCAUGAUUCAAAGUAUGUAAAGAAACAGAAUGUUUAGUAACAAACUAUGUUUCCGGUUUUAAUUUCUAAAUGUGAAAAUGUUGUGUGGUUCUCUUUAGCCUAUUAAUCAACUCAAGUGAACGGAACCAGGCUGGACAUUGAGGGUUAGACCUUGUAAGAGCUGAUUAUAAUUAAUGUACAUAUUUUUUUAAAUAUUUCUGCAAAGCAUGUCGUCCUCACACAGGGCACCAAAUUUAGGUACAGGUAUUCUACAUUAUAUGACAGGGGUUUCUGGUCAGCAACCUGAAAAAUUCCCUCCUUUUAAAUAUAUGUAUUUUUCUACUUCUCAAGAGAAUCAAGCCGGAUUGCUCAACUACAUAAUGUUUGUUCGAGUUGUAAUCAUUAUUAUCCUGAUUGCAACACACAUUCUCUUGUGGAGGAGAACUCUGCAAAAAAGUCAGCAGGGGGUGACCAUGGACACUUCAUCCACAGUCCAAACUCUGACAAAAAUGACACUGUGCGGAGGUUCUCAAUUAACAAAUCAGAGUGUGGAAGAGGGAGAGUGCAGGGUGGAGAAGUUGUGUAUGCUCCCAGAAAGCAACAACCGUGAAAUAUUUCCCAUCAGUCUUGUUUCAAUAUGUUAAUAUAUCAUACUGUAUCUAUCAGUACUGAAUAAAAAAG